rnacentral:rRNA from 1 species
AGUGAACGCUGGCGGUAGGCCUAACACAUGCAAGUCGAACGGCAGCACAGUAAGAGCUUGCUCUUACGGGUGGCGAGUGGCGGACGGGUGAGGAAUACAUCGGAAUCUACUUUUUCGUGGGGGAUAACGUAGGGAAACUUACGCUAAUACCGCAUACGACCUACGGGUGAAAGCAGGGGAUCUUCGGACCUUGCGCGACUGAAUGAGCCGAUGUCGGAUUAGCUAGUUGGCGGGGUAAAGGCCCACCAAGGCGACGAUCCGUAGCUGGUCUGAGAGGAUGAUCAGCCACACUGGAACUGAGACACGGUCCAGACUCCUACGGGAGGCAGCAGUGGGGAAUAUUGGACAAUGGGCGCAAGCCUGAUCCAGCCAUACCGCGUGGGUUAAGAAGGCCUUCGGGUUGUAAAGCCCUUUUGUUGGGAAAGAAAAGCAGCAGGUUAAUACCCCGCUGUUCUGACGGUACCCAAAGAAUAAGCACCGGCUAACUUCGUG